AACGAACGCUGGCGGCAGGCUUAACACAUGCAAGUCGAACGCCCCGCAAGGGGAGUGGCAGACGGGUGAGUAACGCGUGGGAACAUACCCUUUCCUGCGUAAUAGCUCCGGGAAACUGGAAUUAAUACCGCAUACGCCCUACGGGGGAAGGAUUUAUCGGGGAAGGAUUGGCCCGCGUUGGAUUAGCUAGUUGGUGGGGUAAAGGCCUACCAAGGCGACGAUCCAUAGCUGGUCUGAGAGGAUGAUCAGCCACAUUGGGACUGAGACACGGUCCAACCACCUGGGGGAGGCAGCAGUGGGCAAACUUGGACGAUGGGCGAAAGGGGGAAGGAGCGAAGCCGCGGGAGAGACGAAGGUCUUCGGAUCGUAAAGCUGUGUAAUGAGGGAAGAAGGGAAGUGCACUUACACCUUGAAGUAUUGACGGUACCGAAGGAGAAAGCCCCGGCUAACUUCGUG
rnacentral:rRNA from 1 species